AUGUGGUUUAAUUCGAAGCAGCGCGAAGAACCUUACCAGGUCUUGACAUCCCCUCGACAACCCGAGAGAUCGGCGUUCCCCUCGGGGACGAGGGUGACAGGUGGUGCAUGGUUGUCGUCAGCUCGUGUCGUGAGAUGUUGGGUUAAGUCCCGCAACGAGCGCAACCCUCGACCUUAGUUGCCAGCAUUCAGUUGGGCACUCUAAGGUGACUGCCGGCUAAAAGUCGGAGGAAGGUGGGGAUGACGUCAAAUCAUCAUGCCCCUUAUGACCUGGGCUACACACGUGCUACAAUGGGCGGUACAAAGGGUUGCUACCUAGCGAUAGGAUGCUAAUCUCAAAAAGCCGAUCGUAGUCCGGAUUGGAGUCUGCAACUCGACUCCAUGAAGUCGGAAUCGCUAGUAAUCGCGGAUCAGAAUGCCGCGGUGAAUACGUUCCCGGGCCUU
rnacentral:rRNA from 1 species